rnacentral:rRNA from 1 species
UACGAGGGGGGCAAGCGUUGUUCGGAAUUAUUGGGCGUAAAGAGCUUGUAGGCGGUUUGUCGCGUCUGCUGUGAAAAUCCGGGGCUCAACCCCGGACUUGCAGUGGGUACGGGCAGACUAGAGUGUGGUAGGGGAGACUGGAAUUCCUGGUGUAGCGGUGGAAUGCGCAGAUAUCAGGAGGAACACCGAUGGCGAAGGCAGGUCUCUGGGCCACUACUGACGCUGAGAAGCGAAAGCAUGGGGAGCGAACAGG